rnacentral:rRNA from 1 species
GCCUGCGCGUGCCUAAUACAUGCAAGUCGAACGAGUUCUGAUUAUUGAAAGGUGCUUGCAUCUUGAUUUAAUUUUGAACGAGUGGCGGACGGGUGAGUAACACGUGGGUAACCUGCCCUUAAGUGGGGGAUAACAUUUGGAAACAGAUGCUAAUACCGCAUAAAUCCAAGAACCGCAUGGUUCUUGGCUGAAAGAUGGCGUAAGCUAUCGCUUUUGGAUGGACCCGCGGCGUAUUAGCUAGUUGGUGAGGUAACGGCUCACCAAGGCAAUGAUACGUAGCCGAACUGAGAGGUUGAUCGGCCACAUUGGGACUGAGACACGGCCCAAACUCCUACGGGAGGCAGCAGUAGGGAAUCUUCCACAAUGGACGCAAGUCUGAUGGAGCAACGCCGCGUGAGUGAAGAAGGCUUUCGGGUCGUAAAACUCUGUUGUUGGAGAAGAAUGGUCGGCAGAGUAACUGUUGUCGGCGUGACGGUAUCCAACCAGAAAGCCACGGCUAACUACGUGCCAGCAGCCGCGGUAAUACGUAGGUGGCAAGCGUUAUCCGGAUUUAUUGGGCGUAAAGCGAGCGCAGGCGGUUUUUUAAGUCUGAUGUGAAAGCCCUCGGCUUAACCGAGGAAGUGCAUCGGAAACUGGGAAACUUGAGUGCAGAAGAGGACAGUGGAACUCCAUGUGUAGCGGUGAAAUGCGUAGAUAUAUGGAAGAACACCAGUGGCGAAGGCGGCUGUCUGGUCUGUAACUGACGCUGAGGCUCGAAAGCAUGGGUAGCGAACAGGAUUAGAUACCCUGGUAGUCCAUGCCGUAAACGAUGAAUGCUAGGUGUUGGAGGGUUUCCGCCCUUCAGUGCCGCAGCUAACGCAUUAAGCAUUCCGCCUGGGGAGUACGACCGCAAGGUUGAAACUCAAAGGAAUUGACGGGGGCCCGCACAAGCGGUGGAGCAUGUGGUUUAAUUCGAAGCAACGCGAAGAACCUUACCAGGUCUUGACAUCUUUUGAUCACCUGAGAGAUCAGGUUUCCCCUUCGGGGGCAAAAUGACAGGUGGUGCAUGGUUGUCGUCAGCUCGUGUCGUGAGAUGUUGGGUUAAGUCCCGCAACGAGCGCAACCCUUAUGACUAGUUGCCAGCAUUUAGUUGGGCACUCUAGUAAGACUGCCGGUGACAAACCGGAGGAAGGUGGGGAUGACGUCAAAUCAUCAUGCCCCUUAUGACCUGGGCUACACACGUGCUACAAUGGAUGGUACAACGAGUUGCGAGACCGCGAGGUCAAGCUAAUCUCUUAAAGCCAUUCUCAGUUCGGACUGUAGGCUGCAACUCGCCUACACGAAGUCGGAAUCGCUAGUAAUCGCGGAUCAGCACGCCGCGGUGAAUACGUUCCCGGGCCUUGUACACACCGCCCGUCACACCAUGAGAGUUUGUAACACCCGAAGCCGGUGGCGUAACCCUUUUAGGGAGCGAGCCGUC